AAGCCUAUGUAGUUGGUAGGAAGCCUUAAGCUCUGUAUAAACCUCCACAGUGAAAAAUGUAACAGGCUCAGGAUACGGGAAGUCGUUGCCUGUAUU
rnacentral:ncRNA from 1 species